GCAGGGAAGCGCGGAGUAAUGGCGGCCCGAGAGCGACUGGAGCCGCGGCAUUGUCCCCGUGUCUCUCCCGAUCGAUAUCCGCCACCAAACGUCUUCCCGCUUUGCUUGACUGAGAAAUGAGGCGCUCGUCCCGUAGCCGGGCGGGUUAGGGCUCUCGUUCCUUACACGAGGUUGGGACCAGUCGAGUGUAUAACGACGUCAGGCGCCAGUCACUACACCCGUCGUCGAGGAACCGUGGUUCCUCCUUCAGCGUCUUGGGACGUCCUCCCGACGCGAAAGGGCAAAGGCGCUCUCUAUACGUGUAAUUUUGUUGUCGUCGGCGUCGUCGCGGUGAGUACGUGGGUCUCCACGAACGACCGACCGCGGACGGGAAAGGCGAUGGAAAAUGCGCGUCGUGAUUUUAAGGAACGGUUCCAAAAAAUUGGCACACUCUUCCCCCCCCCCCCCCCAAAAAAAAAAAAUUCCUCUGUUAAGGUGGAAGAAAAAAACUCUACAGGAGGUGUGAGAGAUGGUGAUCGGACAGGCAGACCACCUACAAGACAUGAACGGUGUGCUACGGUUGCUGAGUCCAUUCAGAGUUGCCCCUGAGAUGUCAAUCCGUAAACUCUCUUCAGAACUGGGUAUCCCAGGAUCGGUGUCACACCAAGCAUAUGGAGCUGGAUCUGAAGAUGUAGAUGUCGGGAAAAGAACAUAUUUUAGUGUCUUAUUAGAAGGGUUUGAGAUGCAACUCGAGCCAGUGAGACGAUCAGAAAUCUGUUAUGUGCAAGAAACCAGCGUUUUUUUAAAAAAAAGUGGCAUAAGUUUGAUUAUGAAUAAGCAUUUGCAAUUCAAGUCAUAAUUUUAAGUUCCUCUGCAGAGUUUAUCAUAGUCCUCUGUUUUGCUUCCCUGCUAUCGUGCAACUCUGCUUAUCGGUAUACAUAGGUUACAGAGAAAGCCAUUGAACUUUUUGUACAAUCCAGACCAUAAAUAUAGAUUGUUCUUUAGUUCUGGAAUUUUGCUUUAUUAUACUGCUGCAUUUUCAGUUUAAUCCAAAGGUAUUGUGUGGUCUUAUUUAUCCUGAAAUUGUACAGUAUGCUUUAUUAAAGAAUUUUGCUAUACAGUCA